rnacentral:sRNA from 1 species
UUAAAUUGCAAAAUAAAUCACAAUCUUAAAGAAAUCAAGACCUCGUACUCCCCAAUUAGUCUAGAGAGAAGAGAAAGCUAUCGUGUAGAGUGGAUUUGGAGAUUAAUUGCAGAUUUGGAAUUGAAGAUAUUCUGAGAAAAGUUUUUUUCUUCGAUAAAGUGAGAAAAAAA